AUUGUUUUGGUUGAGCAAGUUAUUAGACACCAAGUAUGAACAGGUGGACAAGGAUACCAUAGAGAGUUUUGUGAAAGAGAUUACAACCAUUUUUGCGUCCCCUUUUGGACGAUCAACUAGUGGUGGCAAGAAAAAAGAGUGGCAACAUCUAGAGGGGUUCAUACGCAGUCUGGCGAGAGAAUUGUCUAACAAUUUUAGUGCUGUCAUAAUCCGUUUGCAUAUAUCAACAGUAAUACACCUGAGUGAGGUUUCAAGUGUGGAUGUGGAGACAGUUGCCUUGGUUGGUGUAUGCCGAAAACUAUCCAAUUAUAUGAUGUACCUUCUUGUCACACAACCAGUUAUGUUGCAGGUCACUGCUACCAGCGCCAAAUCAGUGCUAGAUGGCUUCCGCGACAAGUUUGUGACGAUGAUGACAGGCAGCGGAAGCAGCAUCGGCAAGCAGCAACAUGCCAUUCUGCAAAACCUCAAAGAGUUACUAUUGGAGGAGUCUUCCUCCUUGUCUCUGCCCGAACCAUGUAAAGAAACACUGGAGGAGAUGAGAGACAUGUGGGUGAGGAUCAUCGUGUACGCCGCUGGCAGGUCGCGGCCGGAGACUCACGCCACACAGCUAGCCAGAGGAGGGGAGUUCCUUACCUUCAUCUGGCUGCUCAUGGCACACAAAAACGUUGGGUCUUCAGUGGCCACUCCAGUGGAUCUUAUUAGCCCACCUUCUACUUUUGGACCUAUGACUGAUGUGCGAUUUUACGCCUUUGACUUUCGAUCAUAAUUCACAGCAAAUUGAUGCCAUCAUCUGAGAUCGGUUGCUUACGGCACACAUAGAGAGACAGAGUGCUCGAGGACUACGUGUUCGACAUGACCAGACUUCAUAUCAUCGUAUGCUUCCCAUGUCCCUUCUCCAUUGCCUCAACUCAGCUUGAUGAUUUUGGCUAACCUGCAUUCACGCCUUAGUGAAUCAUGGUUGCUUAGUUAUUAACUAGCACAGCUACCCUGACAAAUGUGAGGAUGUUCUUUAAUGUGUUAAAGUUGUCCUAGAAAUGAACUCCGGGUGUCCUAUAUAUA